rnacentral:lncRNA from 1 species
GCGCACAAACCGCUGCUCAUCGCCGGCUGUGACUGGAUGAGGGCCAUGUUCCGGGGGGGCUUCCGCGAGAGCUACGCCAGCGAGGUGGGGACCAGGGGGGACCUGUGGCUCUGUGGGGCAGGGUGGGCUUCUUUGGUUGGGGUCAGGGGGCUCCUCAAACCCCCUGGCCCAGGGACAUGUGUGUCUUAUUUCCCUCUUGCACAGGGAGCUGUGCUGGGUUGUGGGGGCUAUUCAGUGCUGGGGAUGCUGUGCCAGUUCAGGCACUGCCAGGAGGGUCCCCCUUUCCCCCAGCCCAUUUUGAGGGUGUCUCUGAACUCUCCCCCACCUCCCCGACCCCACAGGUGUCCCUGCCCGGCACGAACUGCGCCUGCCUCCGUGCCGUCCUCGACUUCCUCUACACGGGGGUCUUCACCCCCACGCCUGACCUGGACGCCAUGGAGCUGCUCAUCCUCACGGACCGGCUGUGCCUGCCGCGGCUGCAGGCGCUCACUGAGCAAUACGCCGUGGACGAGCUGCUCCGAGCCUUCAUGCAGCGCGUGGAGAUCGACGAGCAGGUCAUCAUCUACCUGGAGAUGACGCAGUUCCACAACGCCCGGCAGCUGGCGGCGUGGUGCCUGCACUACAUCUGCACCAACUACAACCGCGUCUGCCGCCGCUUCCCCCGCGAGAUGAAGUUCAUGUCCCCAGGUACAGACGGGAUGGGCGGG